CCCUAUUACAGCCAGCAGUCUGACAGAGAAUCAGUGACAGCCCCUAUUACAGCCAGCAGUCUGACAGAGAAUCAGUGACAGCCCCUAUUACAGCCAGCAGUCUGACAGAGAAUCAGUGACAGCCCCUAUUACAGCCAGCAGUCUGACAGAGAAUCAGCGACAGACCCUGUUACAGCCAGCAGUCUGACAGAGAAUCAGCGACAGCCCCUGUUACAGCCAGCAGUCUGACAGAGAAUCAGCGACAGCCCCUGUUACAGCCAGCAGUCUGACAGAGAAUCAG